rnacentral:rRNA from 1 species
UAGGGAAUUUUCGUCAAUGGGGGAAACCCUGAACGAGCAAUGCCGCGUGAGUGAAGAAGGUCUUCGGAUCGUAAAGCUCUGUUGUAAGUGAAGAACGGCUCAUAGAGGAAAUGCUAUGGGAGUGACGGUAGCUUACCAGAAAGCCACGGCUAACUACGUGCCAGCAGCCGCGGUAAUACGUAGGUGGCAAGCGUUAUCCGGAAUCAUUGGGCGUAAAGGGUGCGUAGGUGGCGUACUAAGUCUGUAGUAAAAGGCAAUGGCUCAACCAUUGUAAGCUAUGGAAACUGGUAUGCUGGAGUGCAGAAGAGGGCGAUGGAAUUCCAUGUGUAGCGGUAAAAUGCGUAGAUAUAUGGAGGAACACCAGUGGCGAAGGCGGUCGCCUGGUCUGUAACUGACACUGAGGCACGAAAGCGUGGGGAGCAAAUA